AUGAAGAACUUGAAAGACGCGAAAACUACAAUUUUUCCCUCAACUACGAGGGGAGGUAAGGAACUACCAUCUAGCUCUGCACUAGAUUCUCCUUCUGUUAUUAGUAAUCUUGCGACACCUAAACCUGCCACUGCUAAGAAUUCUGAUAUGUCGCAUGUUAUUGAUGAUGCCACUUCUGCUAUGCAUGAUACUUAUGAUGAAACUACUUCUGUGCGUGAUACUACUUUGCCAUUAGGUGAAUUUCUUGAUGAACAACUUGCUAGGGCUAGAGAGAACGAAAUUAUGGAAGAUGCUAUUAUUGAUGAUAGUGAUGAUGAAGGUUCUCCUAAUGAUUAUGAAUUGCCUGUUGUUCCUAAGGGUUAUGUUAUGGAAGAGGAAGCUGCUAGAGCUAUCUUUGCGUGUAAAGAUAGAUAUGAUCUUAAAAAUUAUUAG
rnacentral:rRNA from 1 species